rnacentral:rRNA from 1 species
GACGACGACGGGUAGCCGGCCUGAGAGGGCGACCGGCCACACUGGGACUGAGACACGGCCCAGACUCCUACGGGAGGCAGCAGUGGGGAAUAUUGCACAAUGGGSGAWACCCUGAUGCAGCGACGCAGCGUGCGGGAUGACGGCCUUCGGGUUGUAAACCGCUUUCAGCAGGGAAGAAGCGCAAGUGACGGUACCUGCAGAAGAAGUACCGGCUAACUACGUGCCAGCAGCCGCGGUAAUACGUAGGGUACGAGCGUUGUCCGGAAUUAUUGGGCGUAAAGAGCUCGUAGGUGGUUGGUCACGUCUGCUGUGGAAACGCAACGCUUAACGUUGCGCGUGCAGUGGGUACGGGCUGACUAGAGUGCAGUAGGGGAGUCUGGAAUUCCUGGUGUAGCGGUGAAAUGCGCAGAUAUCAGGAGGAACACCGGUGGCGAAGGCGGGACUCUGGGCUGUAACUGACACUGAGGAGCGAAAGCAUGGGGAGCGAACAGGAUUAGAUACCCUGGUAGUCCAUGCCGUAAACGUUGGGCACUAGGUGUGGGGGGCAUUCCACGUUCUCCGCGCCGUAGCUAACGCAUUAAGUGCCCCGCCUGGGGGAGUACGG